GUGGGAUCUGACCCUGUCGUCUCAUUGGAACAGUGAAACGCUGGACAAUGCGGUUUGAAUGGCAGAGGUUGGAUGUGCAGCACUGUGGUGGUGGGAGAGACGAAGAACCAUAAGGAAGAGUUGGGAAGAUGCUGAUCAUAUAGAGACGACAACACUUCAGCUACGCAGCAGAAGUCCAGAGAUGCACCAUGAGACAUGGGUGUCACCAUGUAGUCCAGCCAGCCCAGAGCUCGUCCUGUGGAUCAAGCUGCUACGCAAGUCACAGGGAUCUCCUGCUUCUGCCUCCCAAAUUCCAAGAUUGAAGCCUAGCUUUUCUUUUUGAGCCGCUUUCUUAAACAUCCACCAGCAAUCGCAUUGUUUCUCACACUCCCUUGUCCUGCAGAACACUGAGGGGAAUGAACCCAAGAUGGCCUCACAGAGAACAACUAAAGCACACCAGGCCCUUAGGAUAUGGUGGCACUGCACUAACAGGCUUCACCACAGGCAUCCUAAGGUUCCUGACAGGCCUGGAGAGCCUGAGGGAACAGAACCAAGACUCCAACCCGAUACCACAGAUCCACACCCACUAUCAGCCAUGGCAUUGCUCAUCUGGACCUGGCCAACAUUACCCAUUACACACACACACACACACACACACACACACACACACACACACACAGAGUCAGAAAAUCACUAGCUCUCAAAGAUGCCAAAUUCAGUGCUAUCACUUUUCCACUCCCAAAGUUCUCAAGAGUGAACAGAAAUCGUCUACCACCUACAUUUUCC
rnacentral:lncRNA from 1 species